rnacentral:snRNA from 1 species
AGAAUAGCCUGAACCCGGGAGGCGGAGUUUGCAGUGAGCGGAGAUCGUGCCAUUGCACUACGGCCUGGGCGACAAGA